rnacentral:misc_RNA from 1 species
AAAAUAAUUAUUGAUAUUGAUAUGUAAUUUUAUUUUAAUUCUUUUCACAACCGCUCAAAGUGCGACUAAGUACACUUACUUGUGCAAAUUAAUGGUUCUUAGUUCUUGAAACAGUGCAUUCAAAUCACUGUAAGAUGAUCCACCUUCUUCAACAGCCUUGUUCGCCAUUUUCUUAACUUCUUCUGCUCUCCUCCUCAUUUCCAUUGAUUCUUCCCCAGCCAUUACACACUUCACUGCCUUUGUAAUUGCUUCACUUUUCACAUUAUCCACCACUAUGCUCCAUUCCUCUGCCCCAACUGCCACUCCUAUUUGUAGUACUUUAGUUAUCAAUUGCUCAUUCAAGAAUUGCUCUGCAAACAUAGGCCAAGUCACCAUUGGAACCCCUGCUGAUACGCCUUCAAGUGUCGAAUUCCAUCCACAGUGAGUUAAAAAGGCUCCUAUAGCCUCGUGAUCAAGAAUCAGCGUUUGGGGUGCCCAUCCUCUUAUGAUGAAUCCUUUUUCUUUUGUUCGCUCUUCGAAUCCUUCUGGAAUCUUGCCUUUCCUAAUUACCCAUAUGAAUUCUUGCUCUGAAGCUUCGAGGCCUAAUGCAAUUUCUUCGAUUUGGGAAUCAGUAAAGUUAGACAUGCUCCCGAAACAAACAUAGAUUACUGAAUUUUGUUUCUUCGUGUCUAGCCAUUGCAAGCACUCAUGAUGUUUAUCAUCGCUUUUGUGGAUUUUUUCUUCGUUUUUUCUGUUGCAGAGCAAAAAGGGUCCAACGUGCCAUGAUCUUUUACCCAAAACCUUUCUGUAGUAAUCAGCAUAAUCUGGUUCAAGCUCAUAGAAGCUAUUGACAAUAACCCCAAAACUUGUCAACUCGGAUCCCUUCACUUGUUCAAUAAACUUAGUCAUUU